rnacentral:rRNA from 1 species
GAUGAACGCUGGCGGCGUGCCUAAUACAUGCAAGUCGAGCGAACGGACGAGAAGCUUGCUUCUCUGAUGUUAGCGGCGGACGGGGGAGUAACACGUGGAUAACCUACCUAUAAGACUGGGAUAACUUCGGGAAACCGGAGCUAAUACCGGAUAAUAUUUUGAACCGCAUGGUUCAAAAGUGAAAGACGGGCUUGCUGUCACUUAUAGAUGGAUCCGCGCUGCAUUAGCUAGUUGGUAAGGUAACGGCUUACCAAGGCAACGAUGCAUAGCCGACCUGAGAGGGUGAUCGGCCACACUGGAACUGAGACACGGUCCAGACUCCUACGGGAGGCAGCAGUAGGGAAUCUUCCGCAAUGGGCGAAAGCCUGACGGAGCAACGCCGCGUGAGUGAUGAAGGUCUUCGGAUCGUAAAACUCUGUUAUUAGGGAAGAACAUAUGUGUAAGUAACUGUGCACAUCUUGACGGUACCUAAUCAGAAAGCCACGGCUAACUACGUG